UGGCCCCUGCCCUGCGGGGGCUGCGGGAGGCGGCGGCAGCGGGGAGAGGCGCCCCGCGGGGCCCGCCGGGGUCCCCCCGCCGCCCGCCCCGCCCCGCACUGUCAGGCCGGGGGAAAACGCGGGGCCGUGGGCUGCUGGAGCAGACUUGGUUAUUGCUAUAAUUUAUUAUUAUUACUAUUAUUGUCAUCAUCGUCAUCAUCGUAAUUUAGGCUUCCACCCGUCGGAGAUUGCCCGAAGAAAGAGCCCGGAGGGUCAGGAUUAAGCAGGAGCCUCCCAGCCCCGUGCUGGCAGCACCGAGGAGCUCCAGCCGUGCCCGCGGCGCAGGGGCGGGAGGCGGCGGGAGAUGAGCGGCCCCUCGGGACCGGGGCUGAGCCGCCGCCCUGCCGCCAUCCCGGGCGACAGCAGCACGGGGUCCUGUUUUUGUGAGACCCGUGGCUUAAGACCCCUGGCCUUUGUGUUUAAUUUGGUUUCCACCCAUUCUAACUUCAGCGAAAAAACUUUGAGACCAGAGCUCGAGGACAAAAGCCCAAAGGUAAAACAAACUGCGAAGGCAUUACAUUUUUAAAGUACGAUACAUUUUGUAAGCCAAUCUCUUUAAUUUUUUACCUAACCUCGGUACUAACAGUAUCCGUGGAAAACCGAGUCCAAAGGCUCAGGAGGCACACACGUGUGCACACGUGACCUCUUAGAAGGUCAGACUAUAGUUAAAGUUUCCAAUUAAAAAAUCAAAGAGGAAAAUCAAAAUAAAUGCAUUACCUUUUAAUCAAAUAAAGAGAAGUAGAAUCCCUCUUAGUUUUAUUUUCUAGGCAUGAUGCAUAGUAAACAGCAUACUCAUAACAAGAUACUUUUAUUAGUACGGUGAGAUCCGUAUCUGAGAAGUUUCCAAACUUGGUUCUGUCCAUUGUGUGUGCCACAGUAUUGUCUGGGGGUGAUUUGCAUGGAUGAUUGCAAAAAUACUACAUUACGAAACUCCCCUCCAAUCUUUUUCUUAUGGAAAAGACACUAAAAAGCAUAUGCAAAUAACACGGUGCUUUUUGAAGAAAUAUACUCCCACUAUGGAUGUAGCAAGGAGAGGUUUUUUGUUUGUUUUGCAUAGCUUGUUUUAUUUUUAGCAUCAAUCUGGUUGCCAAAAAGCAGCCUCCCAGUGUGAGUGAAAACAGUGCAGUUCAACUGAGUGUGCAGUCUGGGUCUCACAGAGGAAUGAAUAUCAAAGCAGCAGAAACACCACAAAACAGGUUUCUUAGCAGAUACUGCUGUGAGGAUGUUCUUACUACACCUUGACAGAAGAGCUGAACAGCAAAAUGUUACGUAGAAGUGCCAGAUAACCUGAUUACUCGACAUUUGUUUGUAGUUUGGGUUAGAGCAUUGUAAGAAGAGGAAUGAAGGACAAAUAUUCUGGCUGGUACCCGCUGUGCUAAUGGAAAACAUGACAAACACCACUUUGCCAUCAACUGCUCAUCACCAGCACUUUACUGUGAGCUGCCCCAUCCAGCAGGCUGUUGGAUAAACCGUUCAUUGGAGCAUUUCUUUGCCUAGUCCGCUCCAAGUGAUCUGGUGUGCCACUAUUUUGGCUCUUUGAACUAACCAGUCUCAAAUUAAUGGUAGUAAACCCCAGAGCAUGGUCCUGAGUUACUCAUCUGAGGUCUGUGAUGCAACACAAGGAGGAUCACAAUUGUCUUCUUCCUACUGACAGGGAAGGUGCUGGUGUCACCUGCUUUCACCAUCACUCCCGACCUGCCAGUGGCUGUAACAGAGCAGGGAAUGAAAAUUUUGGGCCACUCUCCUGUUAACAUUCACUGUGAUGAAAAGGGGUUGCAAUGCAGGUGCUUUCUCACCUGUCCCUGGAAGUGAGACCUCAUGACUCACCUAUCUGAGGUUUGUGGCACCUCAAAAUUAACAAGCUGGAAAGAAAAAUAAAUGAAUAGAUGAUGUGUAGAUAGGCGUGCUUAGUACUUACAAUAUGUUUUAGAUCCUUUUCAUAAAAUACAACACUACUACUUUAUUUUCUUGAAGUGUUAUCUAUUUUAUGGUGAGGAAAACAGAAGUGAAGAAACCAGUUCUUACUUCCUCCUGUGGAAGCUUUCCCAGUUUGCCAAAUCAUUAACAAAUGUUUUAAGCAGCAAAGGGAAAAAAAUAUGCCAUUUGCUCAUAAGGCAAAACCAUGUGGACUACUAGAAAUUACAGAAUAAUGUGUGAGGUUUAAGCAAAAUAAGGGACAGGAGAAAGCGAAACCAACUGUAAAUAUUGAUAAGAGUUAAGUCAUAGGGUAGCAAUUAAUACACAUAUCUUGUAUGUUCCAUAACUCUUGGAAACAGGCCUACAAAAAGAGCCACAAUUCACAGAAAUUAAGCAAAAGCAGUUAAGGCAACAUGAACGCAUACUGCAGGAAAAUAAUUAAAAUUAGGUAAUUAAAGGCAUACAAAGUUGGAUUUUAGUUGGAAUCAAUCGCUACCAUUUUGAAAGGGGUAAUUUAAAAUCAGAUAAACCUGUAGAACAGAUGUUCAACUUUGCAACAAACCGUGCCAGAGGACAUGAGUUAAGGAGGCAUUUAGUGUCUCUUAUGUAGUUCAAAAUGGCUUCUCUUAAAAGAACAGGGCAACCAGGAUCUCAGGCUUCUAAUUUACCACAUUUGUUAUUAAAAAAGAUGUUGAGAUAAAAGCAGAGAGAUUUCUCAGUAAUAGAGACAGACAGCAUAUUUGCAGUGAGGAGGCAUUUUGCAUUCCCUGACCUUGGACCGAAUGUGUUUAAGGUCAUAAACUACACACAGGAUCAACACACCUUCUUUCAUUUCCCCCUGUCUUGUUUCCCAGCUGCCCACCUUGAUCCUAUCCUGCAUUCAACACACACAUCUUGUAGGAGGAUUUGCAUCCUCAGAAGAAAACUGAAAAUGAAAUUUUAAAAAGAAUGCAAAAAUCACUGGACACAACAGAAUUUGCCAGCUGGUCAGAAGGACCUUCAUGACGUCGGCUGGCAAAACCUUGCCAGUCUUUAGAGUUGCGUUUGACGUGGCAUAAUGAAAUGCUAACCUGACCUCAUCAGCUCAGAUACCUCCCUGUCCUUUGGGAAAACAGAGUUGUGCAAUACAGCCUGUUUUAAUAACUGCUGGCAAAUGCAGGCCAACCUUUUCAGUCCAGCAAUCACAGCCCGGCAACGUGAGUGCAGAAUUCAGCCCUCCUCCACAGGCAUUAAUGAGCCAGCGAGUUCACGACGUGCAGUUUCAUCUCAGCCUCACGCAAUGGAGGACACAAGCCGCCGAGUUCCGAGUAGCAGCAUCCUGAUGUCAGCACACAAGCGCUCAGAAAGCACGUGCCCUGAAACAAGUGGGUCUAAAUUAGCCUAACGAACCAGAAACACUGGACUAGUAACUCCUGGGUAGCAUUCCUCCUUCCAUCUGGGCAAUCAUGGCUCUGUAACACAGACCUCACACUGCGAGCUGCUCCUAGCUACUAAGCCAGCGACAUGGAGCAGACCCAAACAUAGACAGAGCACCAGGAAACUGCAGUCUGUGCCAAUAGCAGAGCCUGGGCCUAUUCACUGCUGAAGCUGGAGCUGUAACGUAACAUAAAUUCAUCAGAUUGGAACAUCUAGAAAACCAAAUUGCUACCUGCUUACCUCAGCCAAACAGGCAAUACCUGACCAGGCAGUGAGCAAGAGUGCUCGAGUUAUGAUAUCAAACCACCAAGGUAUAUAGCUGGUGAAUGAGUAAAGUCUUAGCGUAGUUGAUGGUUCAUAUCUGUGUAACACUGCAGUUGUUGGAACAAAUGACCUUACCGUAACCUAUACUUUUCUUCACUAAACAAAGUUCCUAUAUUAAUAUACAUUGAAGAAACUAUUCCCCUCAACAUCUCUUGAGAGAAAUAAUCACUCAUGUACGCCUGAGUGUUAAUACUGAGUGUCUCAUCGAGAAAUAGCAGGUCAAGAUCUCCACAGGGCAAGCCUGGGAUCUCUAGAACAACUGUUGUAAAACUGACAUCAAAAUCAAGAGUCAGGUUUGCCAGCUCGAUGGACUUUUGGUGAACAGACAUGAGUGGUGUUUAAGGUAAGGUUACAUACAGCCUCAUACAGUGUACAGAAACAGCAACUACCAAGACAGUUGCUUGGUACCAUUUUAAAUUAAAUCAGGAGCCACAAAGGUAGGGGAGUGGGAGAAGAAAUACUGCAGGAAGACAGAAAAGAGGAAAUUUUUGUGCAUUCUUUAUAUAAAAUAUAUAAGGGGCAGAAGGGGCAGUGAGACAACACAUGGGAGGCAGGGCCCUAUCCCAUGGCCCUUGUGCAGUAUUUGCUUAACUGAGCAGACUUGCAGGAAUCCUGAGGCCCUUUCAACACUGCCCCUCAAUAUCUGCAGAGCAACUUGUGAGUCACAGAAUGGUUUGGGCUGGAAGGAACCUCAAAG